AAAGUUGCCUCUGAAAUGCGCCGUGUCAACCUCGAUAGUGUCUACAGUUCCGACGUAACCGAGCCUGAAUAUCGCCCAUUCACUUCCAGAAAACUGCAAUUUAUAUUAUUGGAAUUUUCUUCUUUGAAAAAAUAAUUUCCAAGCUUAAAAAAUUUUAUUAAAAAUUUCAAAAAUCAAUAUUAAUAAAUUGUGAGAAAAUAACAGAUAGAAGCUUGAAGUAAUACUAAGUCAAUGAAGAUAAUUACCAGACGUUAUAAGUAGCUUAUCGCUAGACAUAUUUAUACUUAUCAAAUCAAGCAAAUAAUUAUAAUCAACAAUAAAACUAUAAUAAUAAUCAAUAUUGAAUAUUUACUCAAAACAAAGAGUCUAAAAAUUGAGUUUAAACUGGAUUCAGAAGUAAUCAUAAUAAAUGUAGCCGGUUUUUUUCCAUCACGCGUGCUGUUCAAUUUAUCAUCUAAGUCCACGCGAAUUUUGGCUGAUGCGUGAAACUCUCUAGCACGCGUAGCGUCU